rnacentral:tRNA from 1 species
UACCGGAUCGUCUAAUGGUAGGACACCUGGUUUUGGUCCAGGCAAUCUAGGUUCGAGUCCUAGUCCGGUAGCUA